UCAUUUUCCACUCCUUUUUAUACUUCUCCAGCAUUGAGUUUACAUUGUCAACUUCCUUCUUAAAAAAUGUAACCCUAGCCUCAUGAUAACUAGGAAGUUUUAAACCCUUACCAUAUUCACCAACCGCUUCCAUCAUUGAAGCAAAAAGAGGACUUUUUACCAAAACAAAAGGCAAUGCACGUCCAUACAAAAAUCUACAAAUGCUAUGAACAACGGGCUCCCUUUUCUUACCCAUUGCAUUUAAAGUUUGUUGUUUUUCUUUCCCUUUAGUGACAAAGACAUCCAUACUAGUUUUUCUUUUUUCUCCUAUCAUUUGAACUUCUGUCUCUUCUUCUUGGAAAUAUUCUUUUUCAUUCACCUUUUGUCUUUCCAAUUCUCCUAAUAUCUGAAUACAAAGUUCCCUCACAUUAUCUGGACAUUGUGUACACGGAGCCACAUUAUCAUGAUCACCCGCAAAAUGGUGUUUCAUUCGAUUUAUCCCUCCCCAUCUUUCAAGUCCACAAUAAUUGCACUUUAAGUUCAUUCUAUUUCCAUUAAUCCGAGUGCAAUAUUCCCAGAUAGGAUCAUUAUUCUUUGUUGUAGAUCCCUUUUUUGAUCUUGACGCCAUAUUCAACAAGAAAGAAAGCAAUAUUCUUCUAGCAUUGAAAAAAAAUAUAAAGUCAAAAUUUUGAAAUAAAAAACAAUACAAAUAUCAUAAAAGAAAAUAAAAAAAAGUAGAACAAAUCUGACCAAACAAUAAAACAUAUUAGAAAAAAUCAGAAACAAAAAAAAAGACACAGCACAACAGUCGACACUGCAGUGCAAUAGGCUAAUAGCAGGAAAAUAUAUAUAAAAAAAAUAAAACAAUAACAAGUUAAGUUAACAAUUACAAAAUAGGUUCUCUUAACCCCCAAAGUCAACAAAAAUAGCUGCAAAAGACACAGCAGUCAGCACUACAGUGCAACAGCAACAAAAAAAUAAAAAAAAAACAAAACAAGAAAACCUCAAAGUCAAUAAAAACAGCUAGUGCUCAGAAAUAAGCAUGAGUGGUUGAGGCUCAUGUGCCCAGCUGCCCACAUCUCUGAUGUCUUUGUUGGCACGUGAGCACAUGAAAAAUUAUAAUAUCAUUUUCAAGGAUGAAAAAUGAUUUGACGAGAGAAGUGGCUAGAACAGAAGCACUGGUUUCAACACUCGUCAAGACUCCCAAGCUGGAUUUUCUCUAGGAAUAGGCAUAGAAUAGAAGCACUGGUUUUAAGCAAACGCAGUCUUCUUCUUAGGAUUCGUAUGGUCUAGGCGUCUCGCAUAAAGCAAAGAAAAAGAAUAACUGAAGAAGAAGAAAGCAACGCACCUUGAACAGAACCUGAAGUCUUGCGGUCGCAGCUCUCGAGUCUCGCCUUUGCUUCUGUCGUUUCAUCUCAUGCUCAUAUGCAGCGUUUUUGCUUCUCUGUUUCAACUUUCCAGCUUCCAGCUCCUAACGUUUCAGGUACUGCCGUUUCAUCUCAUUUCUAUUUCAGUUUUGUGAUUCGUUCGAUUCACUCGAUUCGUCCGAUUCUAUCGAUUCUUUGCCGAUUCUUUCGAUUCAUGGUCGAUUCUAAGCAAUUUUCGAUUCUACCUAUAGAUUCGACUCGAUUUCUCUUGGAAUCGAGCCGAAUCGUGCGAUUCGCGAUGCGAAUCGCACGAUUCUAACAACAGUGCAUCCGAGCUUUAGGACUCGAUUAUGAAAAGAUAGAUGCAUGCCCAAAUGAUUGCAUACUUUUUCAAAAAGAAUAUGCAAAUUGUCAUGAAUGUGUGAAAUGUGGUGCUCCUAGGUGGAAGUUAGUGGCAGGAAAAAAAGAUGUAACUGGGAAAAAGGUACCUACAAAAAUCCUGAGGUAUUUUCCAUUGACCCCAAGGCUCCAGAGGCUAUAUAUGUCAUCCAAAACAGCUUCAGAUAUGCGAUGGCACGAAGAUAAACAUGUUAAGGAUGGGUUAUUACGUCAUCCAGCUGAUUCUGAAGCUUGGAAAAAGUUAGAUGAGCAUUAUCCUUCGUUUUCAAUUGAACCUCGUAAUGUUAGACUUGGAUUGGCAAGUGAUGGAUUUAAUCAAUUUGGCUCAAUGAGCAUUGCUCAUAGUACAUGAGCCUGUGAUUGUAGUUCCAUAUAAUUUUCCCCAUUGGAUGUGCAUGAAACAGCCUUAUCUCAUAUUAACCUUACUUAUUCUUGGUCCAAAAGCCCCUGGAAACCACAUUGAUGUUUAUUUGCAACCUUUGAUUGAAGAAUUGAAGGAGUUAUGGGAGGCUGGUGUUCAAACAUAUGAUGCCUCAAAGAAACAAAAUUUUCAGAUGCAUGCAGCUAUUUUAUGGACUAUUAAUAAUUUUCCUGCCUAUGCAAAUUUGUCUGUAUAUAGUCCAAAGGGAAAAUGGGCUUGUCCUUGUUGCAACAAACACACCGAGUCUCAUUGGCUAAGUUAUGGGAAAACAAUUUGCUAUAUGGGCCACCGUCGAUUUUUACCUAGGAACCAUAAAUGGCUUAAUAAUAAAAUUCAAUUCAAUGGGAAGGUGGAACGAAGGGACCGACCUCCACAACUGUCCGGAUAUGAUGUGUUUGAACAAUUAUGCACUGUUGAAAAAGGAAAAUAGGAUAAUUCUAAUGAUACUUGGCUAAAACAUUGGAAGAAAAAAAGUAUCUUCUUUGAGCUGCCUUAUUGGAAAGAACUUUUGUUGCGUCACAAUCUAGAUGUUAUGCACAUUGAAAAAAAUGUAUGUGAUAAUGUCAUUGGAACGAUCAUGCAUAUUCAAGGAAAAUCGACAGAUGGUAAGAAAGCUUGCAUGGACUUGAAAGAGAUGGGCAUUAGAGAGACACUCUACCUACUCGGUGAAGAUGAUAAAAUACCUCUUGCAUGUUACAUGUUGUCUUCAAAAGAACAAUUGAUGUUGUGUGAAUUUUUAAAAGAAGUUAAAGUACCAGAUGGUUAUUCAUCGAAUAUCUCAAAGUGUGUUAAUAUCAAGGAGCGCAAAAUCUUGUCCUUAAAGAGUCAUGAUUGCCACAUUCUUAUGCAACGAUUACUCCCUCUUGUUAUACGGGGCCUUAUCCCUAAAGAUGUUUUUGGUGCAUUGAUUGAAUUGAGCAACUUUUUUCGAGAGAUUUGUUCCAAAGUAUUGAGGGUUGAAAGGUUAAAUGAACUUGAGCUCCAAAUUGUUGAAACUCUUUGCAAAUUAGAACGAAUCUUCCUUCCAACUUUUUUCAACAUUAUGGAACACUUGCCUAUUCACUUACCUAGUGAAGCUAAGAUUGUCGGCCCUGUCCAGUAUCGUUGGAUGUAUCCAAUUGAAAGGUUUGUACAUGUUCUUAUUCAUAUUAGUUUUUUUGGAAAAAAAAAAAGGUUUACCCCCUUAUUAAGGAGUUUAAGAAAAGUUAUCAAUUUCUUUGACAGAUAUUUACGCACAUUGAAAUCUUAUGUCCGUAAUAAGAGUCGUCCAGAGGGUUCAAUUGCAGAGGGAUAUCUUGCAGAAGAAUGCCUAAAUUUUUGUUCUAGAUACCUAAAAGGAUGUGAAACGAAAUUCAAUCGUGUUGAAAGAAAUGCUGACGGGGAUGGUGUGAAAACAAUUGGUGAAUUAUCUAUUUUUACUCAAACAGGUCGUGCUUUAGGAAAAACGACUCAAUGUGAGCUUGGAAGAGAGGAAUGGUCCCAAGCUCGAUUAUAUGUCCUUAAAAAUUGUGAUGAAAUCCAAUCAUUCAUAGAGUAAGUGAUAAUUUUGACAUAUUCUAUACCAAUUAAUUUAUAACAAUUAUUUUUUCAUGGAAUUUCUCUUACUGCUUUUUGUGUGUAAUUUAAAAUAGAGAACACAAACAUUUGGUGGUCCAAUCUCUAGCCCAUUCCCAUCCCAGAAACGUGGAAAACAUUCACAAUAGAGAAUUUUUAAGUUGGUUUGAGCAUCAAGUAAGUAUAUUAAUAUCUAAUAUGUAUCAUUUAAAUGUUUUGUGGUUAGAUGUUCAAUGCCAUCCAUUUGAACUAUAUUGUUAUUUAACCCAUUUCCCUUUAAAUGGAUAGGUGACACAAAUGUAUAAUUCAGAAAAUGACAAAGUCACCAAUCAUUUGUUAUCACUUGCUCGAGGGCCAAAUCAUAGUGCAUUGUCAUACAAAGGCUACAUUGUUAAUGGUUUUCGGUUCCACACCCGAGAUUGAGAGAAAGAAUUGAAAACUCAAAAUAGUGGAGUUUUUGUGAGAGGGGAAACUAAUAGUUUUGCAACUGCGAGAGAUGGUAACCCAACCCUUGGUAAUGUGGAUUACUAUGGCGUGUUAAUGAAUAUUAUCGAAUUGCAAUAUCUUGGUGGUUUACGAGUAAUACUAUUCAAGUGUGAUUGGAGAGAUGUAUGCAAUAAAGGAAGAGGAAUCAAGACAGAUAAUUACGGGUUCACUUCCUUAAAUUUCGAUAGAUCAUUGCAGACUAAUGAACCAUUUAUACUUGCUUGCCAAGUUGAACAAGUGUUUUAUGUAAGGGAAAUGGGGGAACCUAAUUGGUAUGUUGUUCAACGAUCACAACCUCGAAACUUUUAUGAUAUGGAUGCUUAUGAAGCCACUAGUGAUGAACCAUUUCAACAAAAUGAUCUAUCAAACAUUGGCCAAUGUUCAACCCAAGAUGCGGAUCUAAAUGAUUGUGAGUUUUCAUGCCAUAGAAGUGACAUUCCGCUAGAGAUUGCAUUUGAAGAAGGGACAUCAAGACAACGAAGGAAAAGAAUGUAUCUUUCAGUUAAGGGAAAGAGAAAGACUAGAGGAAGAAGGAAACAAAAACCAGUUUUAAGUGAUGAUGAUUGAUUGUAUAUUUCUUGCUUGCUUAGUUUUGAUAUGUUUUUUUUUUUCUCUUUAUUUUUCUAAAGCUUAGUGUAUUUCAGUGUUUCUUUUUUCUUUAGUCACUUUCUAUAUAUAAGUCUAUGUUGUAGCCAAUAGAGGGUAUAAUCGAAACCAACGAACAAACUCUCGUCACACCACCUAAUUUUGAUCCAUCUAUAAGACAAAGUUGCGCUGGUAAGAAAUAAUUAUCUAUAUUUUAAUAGUUUGAUUUUCUCAUCUGUAAAAUGAUAAAAUAAUUAUUAAUUUUUAUUUAUCAUAUAUUUAUUAUAUAGGAUCAUCAUCAUCUAAUGUAAGAAAAAGAGGUCGAGGGAAAACAAAGAAUAAAAUACUAACAUCUUUGGCUCCUGGUUAAAAAUUGCUAUUGGAAUUCAAUAAUUAUGGUCAAGCCAUUGGAUCAAAUGCUAAUGUAUUUGCAAGUCAUAUUGGCAAGAUUGUUAAAGUAUGUGAAGAUGCACCAAUUUCUUGCAAGCGUUGGGAAGAUGUUCCACAAGACAAUAAGAAUAAAAUGUAUUCUUAUGUACUGGAGAAAUUUGAAUUUGAUGAAAACGAAGUAAGAAAAAAUUGGAUCUUUAGAAAGAUGGGAAGGGAUUUUGCAAACCAUAGAUAUAAGUUGAAGGCUGACUAUUAUGAUGCAUAUGACAAUGAUGAUGAUCAAAUUAAGUUUGCUCCAACAACAAUCGACCAAAGACAAUGGAGACAAUUUGUCAGUUGGUUGAGCUCACAUGAGUUUCAGGUUUUUUGUGCUCGUAAUAAGUCUAAUCGGUCAAAGCAAACAAUGACUAAAACUAUAGGCACUAGAAGUUUUGCUCGAGUUAGAGCUGAACAGGCUGAAAUAUUAGGACAUGAACUGUCUGCAUGGGAAAUGUUCAAGGUGACACACAAGAAAAAAGACGGGUCAAUGGUUGAUUCCACAUCAAAAGAAAUAGUGGAAAAAAAUUCAAUCUUCAGUAACCCAAAGAGCUGAGGAAGAAACUUCUCAAGCUAUUGAUGAAAAUGAAAUUUUUUCUGAAGUAAUGGGAAGAGAAAGACAUAGACGUGUUCGUGGGUAUGGAUUCGGACCAACUCCUUCUUCUAUCCUUGGAAAGAUGAUUCCAUCUCGUCAUGAGCUUGUUACAGAACUAGAACAAAUGCGACAGCAUAAUAAUGGUUUGAAAAAUGAAAUGCAACUUUUGAAAGAGAAAAAUGAAGCGUUGUCGACAGAAUUAGACCAAGUCAAAGAAAGGCAAUCAAUUUUUGAAGCUUUUAUGGAAGAUGUUAGGGCAGGAAGGAUUAGAAAUAACAAUUGACUAGACUUAAUUGUUUGAUGUCUUUUUUUGAUGUAAAGUGUUAGAUGUCUUUUUUUGAUGACAAUG